GCCUACGGGACGCAGCAGUGGGGAAUAUUGGACAAUGGGGGGAACCCUGAUCCAGCGACGCCGCGUGAGUGAAGAAGUAUUUCGGUAUGUAAAGCUCUAUCAGCAGGGAAGAAAGAAAUGACGGUACCUGACUAAGAAGCCCCGGCUAACUACGUGCCAGCAGCCGCGGUAAUACGUAGGGGGCAAGCGUUAUCCGGAUUUACUGGGUGUAAAGGGAGCGCAGGCGGGAAGCCAAGUCAGCUGUGAAAACUACGGGCUUAACUUGUAGACUGCAGUUGAAACUGGUUUUCUUGAGGGAAGU
rnacentral:rRNA from 1 species